AGAAAGUUGGAAUGAUAAACUUGCCCAAGGUCACUGAACAGUAGCUGGGGAGAACUAGACCAGUGAACAGUGAAGAUGGGAACUUUAAACUUUUAGAGAAAAUUAGGACUCUCCUUAUGUGCCAACUACACAAAAACUAAAUGAAGAGCAGUGAGCCCCUGCUGUUGGGAGAUUCCCAAGUGAAAAAGUAGUAGUCCAAACUUAAAAAGUAAUUUCAAACAGAAGAUCUAAAGAUAAAGACAUCUGUAAAGGCUGGACAUCCGGAAAGGUUUACUCAAGUAGUUCUAUAAGGCUCCUGCACUUCCCUAGCCUUAAAAUCUAAUCUGAUUUAAGAGCAAAGAGAUUUUAUAACACUCUUCUAAAUUCCAUCAAGCUUAACAACCUCUAUUCAAAACAAAACAAACAAAAACAGAAGUGAGAACAGAACAAUGGGAAGAAGUGACCGCCCAGCCUUUGGGUCAGCCGUCAAGACCUACAGGGUUGCAACCACGAGACGGCUGCAGAGCCCUUGGAUUGAGAUCAGCUAGGGUCCCCGCCUUACUAGACCCAGUUCUGGCUCAGUCGGCAACCUCAGUUAACCAUCCCAUCACCUCCAGAAGGCAUUGGAAAAAUUUUGUUUUAACAAGUAGAACCCAUAAUUCACCAACUGGCUUCACAAUCUGAAAUCUACGGCAAGGCUCCCACAAGGGAGGGUCGGGAGAAUGUGGUAUAACUGAUCUAACCUAUCGUUCUACGAAGUUGGGGAGGUUCGGCAGGCCAUGGGGGAGUAGAGGAGCAACGACAUAUACCAUCCCCACGUUUAGGGCAGGAGAGAGAGAGCCUCCUCUACAACCCAGGUUUAAAAUGUAUAUAUUAUUUUCAGAGAUGAGCUUUCACGCUGUGACACUCGUGAAGAGUCUCCCAGUAGCUCCUCCCCCACUUGAUAGGGAGACUGGGUUCUGGAGCUACCCAGCUGAGUGUAAAAUAUCUGGAAAUUAAGGUGACUCGGUUUUAUGGCCUCCAGAAGGGUCCUCCCUCCUGCCCGAGAUCAGCCGCCAGGACCGACGCCCGCAGCGCCCGCGGACUGCCCACCGAGCGCCCCACGCCCACCUUCCCAGCGAGGUAUUUUGCAGAGGCCAGCUGGACUCGUUCCCCGCAGCACCCACCCUUCCCCCUUCCCAGGUUUCGGGCAAGGAGCCUGGUUAAUCAUUCAAUGCGGACAGCGUGAAAGAUUUUUUUUAGAGGUCAAAGUGAAAGGUUCUCCCUAAGUUUCGCAGAAACUGGCCUUUGGGGACCCUGAGGUGGCAGUGGCAGGAGGCUGGGGAGUAGGGAGAGGCUGGGGAGGCUCUUGGGCUCACAAAACACCUGAUCUUCCCAUGCGGCACCGGAGACCACAGCAGUGAGAGUGUGGGACAAGGGGGUGCGAGCGCGAAAUCACGCAGAGCCCCCUCCCCAAAACAGCGGCGCUACCCAGAAGAGGACGCCCGACCCCACAUACUCCUUACAAUUGCCUGCAUCACCCCGGCGCCGGCUCCCCCGGAAGUUGGGGUGCAGCGGAAAGGAGGGAUGUCCCAAGGCCCCGAGGAGGUGGGUGUGGAAUGGGGCAAGAGGCUCCGAAGACUCAGAUUUCAUACCCUCUCCCUCUAAGAGAGUUUCCUCGAGGUUCCACGGGUGUCUCUGGAAGCCGGAAACGCAAGGUGCCCAGACGCUGGGCCUCGAACCCAAGAGGUAGGGCGGAUACCUAGGUGCAGACUAAAUGGCUGAACUCGGACACACCCAUACCACCGGCUCCCCGGGGCUGGAUGGGGACACCCACUGGCCAGAGCUCUGGAGACCACAGACGCAUCCCUCUAGCCCAGCGCCCCCGCCGGCUCACCAGAGUACUGCAUUCUAAGGUGAGUCGGAGCCGCUAUUGACACAACUGUGGAGUCCCCAGGUUAAGUCCUGAGCGACCCGAUGGAGAAGUUGCACUGGUGUGAAAGACCUAGAGCAGCCAGCUUUUCACGGAUGCGCUCUGCUAGAAGGCAAGCCUGGCCCGAGGCGCACCUGAAAGCACCUCUCCUCCCAUGGUCCUUACCUCUCCACGAAGAAAGCAGCGUUCCCCUUUUAGAUAAUCAGACCGAGGAGUUAAAGACAAUCCACGCUCAACUAUUCACAUUUUCGGAAGCCUUUCUGAGGGUGAAUUAGCUGAAAAGCAAGGAAUUGCUACCGCAGGAAUUUCGGGCACCUGUGAGCUCAGGCACUCAUCUAUUGGCCCUUAGUCUUAAACUCAGCGCGAAAGAGGAACGCGUUGCUGAUGCACGCUCUGAGCCGUGUGCUUGCGGUCCAUUGGAAACGAACUCUCUCGUCAGAUCUGGAAAAGUUUUGGUUUGCAGCCUUCCAACCUUUUUGAUUUUAUGUUAAUCACAUGAUUCUCCUAAGACUGCGACAUAAAGUCCAAACGAGUUAGAUUUUUGUAUAUUAAUAGAAAACCACCUGUAAGGAUGCACACGGUUACAUCGGAUGUGGGAUAGGGGCGUCGGAAAGAGAGAAGAUGAAUUUUAGAACCUUACUGACUUUGAAUUUUGUAUUUUUCCAGUUAUAUUAACUUUCAUAAUUUAGGAAGCUAAUAAAACACUUUUAAAGAAAUAUAGAAAUUAGAAAAUCUGUAAGAUCUCUACAGAAAGUAUAAAUCAUAAACAAACAAAACCUAUGUCUUUCAUUUUGUGUCAAAAUAAUUAAACACAAGUCUGCGUACCUUGGUUUAAAUAAAGAUAUCUUUAGGUGGCUGUUCUUUAA